AGUAACACGUGGAUAACCUACCUAUAAGACUGGGAUAACUUCGGGAAACCGGAGCUAAUACCGGAUAAUAUUAUGAACCGCAUGGUUCAAAAGUGAAAGACUGUCUUGCUGUCACUUAUAGAUGGAUCCGCGCUGCAUUAGCUAGUUGGUAAGGUAACGGCUUACCAAGGCAACGAUGCAUAGCCGACCUGAGAGGGUGAUCGGCCACACUGGAACUGAGACACGGUCCAG
rnacentral:rRNA from 1 species